UGUAUUCCCUCUCUUGAAGAGACAGUCUUCUAAGCUUCCUUUUGCCAUGUAUUCAUAGACUAGAAUACCAUACUCUGGGCAGGCUCCUAGAAGCAGUACCAUGUUUGGAUGCCGUAUUAAGCUAAGCACUUCAACCUGCAAGAACACUCAAGGCACUGCAGGUCAGGUGAUUUUCAAUAAGGUUUUGGUUGAGAAAACAUCCAUUUGAUGCAUUUACUGGUGUUUUUUUAAUGGUUUUGAUAUGUCAAAGUCAAAAUCAUUCAAAAGCACCUAAAAAUCAUCAAUCUGGUACCUUUUAGACAAAAAGCACUUUGGAAAAGCAUUUUCAAUCGCAUUAUUAAUCAGUUUUCUUUGUUUCUCACCUCUCUUUGAAAUUGAGACCUUCCUUGGGCUGCAUCAGGACGUAAAACCUUGACUGCAACUGGUGUAUGAUCAAGAUAACAGUUGUAAACUGGGCCAUAACCUCCUUCCCCAAUCUUCUUUGAUUCCAAAAAGUAUUGUGUUGCUACUUCAAUCUCCUCAAUACUGUAUCUCCUGUAUCUGAUACCAUGAUAAGAUAGAUUAUCCUUUGCUCGUUUCGUUUUUGCAGCUUCUUUGAGGGUUUUCUCUAUGUUGAGUCUCCUUUGCGCUUCUAUUGCAGCUCUCUUCUCAGCUUCUUCAGCAGCGUCUAUGGCUUCUCUGCACCUGGCUUUCUCUUGCUCUAUAAUCGACAGUGCAGCUUCUUCAGAAAACCUAGACUCUUCCAAUCUUCGUUCUUCUUCUAUUCUCCAGCGAUUCAGCUCUGUUGCCUAUAUACAUACCAUUUUAGAACCUACUGGGAAUCUUACUAGUGCACGUAGAAAACAUGAAUUCUCUGUACCUUCCGUUUUGCUGUAAGUGCUUCUCUACAUGCUGCGUUGUACAAGUCCAUUGUUUGCUUCAACUCUAGUUUUAGCCUCCUCAUCUCAGACUCCAUGUCAUCCUAUAUGUUUCAAUUACAGAUUAGGAGAAAGCAUUUAGAUCAUGCAUCUGUGCUUUAUUAUCACACUUUGCGCAGUCUUAUUGACUUUAAAGUUAAAACAACAAAUGAAAGGCUAAAGAAAUCAAAAUAUAAAAUUGCCUUUUCCAAUCAUGGAAAGAUCGAUGUAAGAUUAUGCUACAAGCCAUCAUAUAUAAGAUGUUACUCUAUCUAAAUUGACCGAAUAAUCUUAGCUAUUUUGCAGAAUUCAGUGUAUAACCCAAGAAGAAAAACUUAAAUUGCAUGUUCUUGACAAUAUUCACAGUGUAGCCUGAAUCAAACAACUUGAGGAUAUGAUCUAACUAGAUUAAUUUUCCUGUUAAUAGGAAAAAAAUGGUUAAAAUAAUAACUCUAUUAUUAUACAUCCUUUAUUUCCUUAAGUGUUUACAGUGUUUGGUGGUUAGUUGAGCUUAUUUACCUAAUCAUGCUAUUGUCAAAACGGGUAAUUGCUUACCAGGCUGUGUGUUGAACCAGUAAAAGAUGUUCUGCCGCUAUCUUGUGAAAUUGAUGAAAAUCCCUGAUGGUAAUUGGGGCUAAAGAACUUUGGUCCUGAUUGUAUAGAUGCAAAGCUAGUGUCUGAGCUAGUUGAAAACCGAGGGGUUGCUCCAGAAUCCAUGAAAUCAUAGGUUACAGAAGACAUGCGGUCAGUGCUUGGCCUGCUGGAGCUGACAAAUGAUAUGUCAGUUUCUGACAUGAGAUCUGCAAAUGAUUUUACACUAUGACCCUGUCCUCCUCUUCCAAAUGGUGACCUGUUGUUACCAACAAUUGUAUUAUGUUCAGCCUUUGAACAAAUUAAAUCAUAGCCAAACUUUAGCAAUAAAAAAAAUAAUAUAUUACAAAGACAUCCCAGACUAUCACUCCAUAAAUAUUUACUGAUUAUAUAUGCACGUUAUAUUAUAUCAUGUUCACUGCCAUCCCCUCUCAUCUUCUAAAAUGAUUUGAUGCAUUCCUUACUUACCUGAAGGUUUCACCAACUGAGAUACGAGGCUUGACUGGCAUCGUUCUCUCUGUCAGCAGAAGACCAUAAAUUGGAUUUUGGAUUAGGAUUAAGACAAAAUAAAAUGGAAAAAGGACCAUAUGAUUGGGAGAAUAAACCUUUUAUGCUCCAAACAUGUUUGUAUAGUGCUUCAGAAGAAUCUACCCUUGGACUAUUUUGGUUCUGUUGGUUUUGUAUUUGAUCUAGAAGUGGGGAGGCGAAUGGGGCAGGACGAGAAGCAUUUCUCAUUGUAGAGACCUUUCCUUUUGAUACAACAUACACAGUACAGAAAUCAGGUGCCCCUCUUGACACAGUGCUUGGUACAUCUGCCUUGAAUUUUCUGUAUAACAAAACCACUGGAGUUAAAUGAGUCUGGUCGCUCAAUGCACAAAUACAUCAGCAAAAAAUGGAAUUGAAUUCUCAAUUUUCAUCUCUCGUGAUUGUUAUUGUUGAUUAUCUUUCCAUCUGUAUGUGAUUUAUCCUGACUGUUCAAUGAUUUGCUUAUCAGAUAUUGCCAAUCAAAGUUCAGAGUUGAGGAGAAUAUAUAAAAUUCUGCUAGUAUUCUGAAAGUUGACCUAUGUGAAAACAAAGUGCUUUUCAUCUGAAAUAGCACCAAAACUGAUGCUGUUUUGAAUGCUUUUCAAAGUUUUUGAUGUGAGGGUCUCGAAACCAUAAAAGAGGACCUAAAACAGCAUCAAUCCAAAUGCAUUUUGGAACACACCCGAACCACAAUACCAAAAGGUAGAGUUGCCAGGUCAGGAGGGGGCUAGGGACUGCAAAAAUACCUCAUAAAUCCACUCCGUGAUGGGGUUCCGAGAACCACAGUCUCGAUUGCUGCAUGGGAAACAUAUUCUGUUAUUGCUUUUGCUAUAUCUGUGCUUUCAAGUGCAACAUCAAGGCAAUGUACCUGAUACAAAAAAAAAAAAAUAAAUCUGUAUGUUGAAAUUGAAAGGAGAAAACAAGGUACAUGUGCACAUCUAUCUGCAUAAAGGCAUGAGACAUUGAAAAAUGAUGGUUUUCUUCCAUUAUUUUGGAUGCUUGUGUUUAUAAGAGAGAUUCCUAUAGAUUUUAACUUCUUUUAUUCUUCUCAUGUUCUAGACAUUUUCCAUGCCUAAAGGUGCAUAUUUAUAUCGUGGAAAGGAGGAAUAACAAUGACAGGCUCAGAAACGUACAUCUUUGCGAGUACAAUAGCAUCGAAAUGUAAGGAAGAGAUCCUUUGCCAUCUUCUCAAGCUGCUGCUUCCCUGGUGAAGAAUAAUCACCAGGCGAUCCAUGGCCUGGUCGUGAAACAAUGCAAACAUGUGGAAGAGAAAGAAGAUUAGAACAUGAAACCUAGAACUUGAAAAACCACUUGAGAGAUCAAAGGAGCUGUAAGGCAUUGAAUCAACUGCCACCAGCCCAUUUCCUUCUCCUCCCUUCUUGGUACCGUGUCCCUUCGAGAGCCACAUUUGCUGUCUUGUAUCUUCUCAACACAGAAAAGAAUUCAAAGGACGGGAAUCCGCAAAAGUGGUCAAGAAUUCAAAGGCCUGUAAUUGUCAUCAAGAGAAGACCGCCUAAGAGGCCUUGAAACCUCUCUUCUAUCACCCUGGAUGUGCUCUGAUGCUUUCUGGUCAAAGAGGAGUUUUAAGUGCUUUCUGAAGGGAAAUGCCAAUUGGAUGCAAGCCUCAGUGUGUUUCCAGCAGAAAUGACACCCCUCAUAUUCUCAGUCCCUGUUUAGAAGCUUGCCUAUAUUUAGUGAUCGAGGGCCAUUGAUGAAGCUGUGCCAUUUCAAUGGACACACGAUGUUACUAAAUAAAGGAUGGUCUUCGGUAUAC